rnacentral:rRNA from 1 species
GACGAACGCUGGCGGCGUGCCUAACACAUGCAAGUCGAACGGAGUGUUUAUUUAUAAACACUUAGUGGCGAACGGGUGAGUAACGCGUAGACAACCUACCCUCUAGAUGGGGACAACACCGCGAAAGUGGUGCUAAUACCGAAUGUUGUAAUGUUAUUGCAUAAUGAUAUUACUAAAGGUGGCCUCUAUAUAAAAGCUACCGCUAGAAGAUGGGUCUGCGUCUGAUUAGCUAGUUGGUGAGAUAACAGCUCACCAAGGCAAUGAUCAGUAGCCGGUCUGAGAGGAUGAGCGGCCACACUGGGACUGAGACACGGCCCAGACUCCUACGGGAGGCAGCAGUGGGGAAUCUUCCGCAAUGGACGAAAGUCUGACGGAGCAACGCCGCGUGAGUGAAGAAGGUUUUCGGAUCGUAAAGCUCUGUCUUCAAGGACGAACGUAGAUAUUGUGAAUAAUGAUAUUUAAUGACGGUACUUGAGGAGGAAGCCACGGCUAACUACGUGCCAGCCGCCGCUGUAA